rnacentral:rRNA from 1 species
UACGGAGGAGGCAAGCGUUAUCCGGAAUUAUUGGGCGUAAAGCGUCCGCAGGUGGCUAUUCAAGUCUGCGGUCAAAGACUGGGGCUUAACCCUGGAAAGGCCGUGGAAACUGAAGAGCUAGAGUGCAGUAGGGGUAGAGGGAAUUCCCGGUGUAGCGGUGUAAUGCGUAGAGCUCGGGAAGAACAUCGGUGGCGAAAGCGCUCUGCUGGACUGCAACUGACACUCAGGGACGAAAGCUAGGGGAGCGAACAGG